rnacentral:rRNA from 1 species
AGUGAACGCUGGCGGUAGGCCUAACACAUGCAAGUCGAACGGCAGCACAGUAAGAGCUUGCCCUUACGGGUGGCGAGUGGCGGACGGGUGAGGAAUACAUCGGAAUCUACUUUUUCGUGGGGGAUAACGUAGGGAAACUUACGCUAAUACCGCAUACGACCUACGGGUGAAAGCAGGGGAUCUUCGGACCUUGCGCGAUUGAAUGAGCCGAUGUCGGAUUAGCUAGUUGGCGGGGUAAAGGCCCACCAAGGCGACGAUCCGUAGUUGGUCUGAGAGGAUGAUCAGCCACACUGGAACUGAGACACGGUCCAGACUCCUACGGGAGGCAGCAGUGGGGAAUAUUGGACAAUGGGCGCAAGCCUGAUCCAGCCAUACCGCGUGGGUGAAGAAGGCCUUCGGGCUGUAAAGCCCUUUUGUUGGGAAAGAAAAGCAGCAGGUUAAUACCCCGCUGUUCUGACGGUACCCAAAGAAUAAGCACCGGCUAACUUCGUG